rnacentral:snoRNA from 1 species
GAGCAUGUUUCCAAGGUCCGUGACUAGUGUGGCCAUCUGGUCUCCAACUGCAUGCAAGAGCAACCUGGGGAGACUGGGACAGUUCAGGACAACAAAGCAUCUGCAGCUGCCACUCACCUUUCCAGGAUCU